rnacentral:rRNA from 1 species
GGGUAAGUAGGUUGGUCGUGCCACCGGUACGUACUGGUCUCACUGAUUCCUCCUUCCUGAAGAACCGUAAUGCCAUUAAUUUGGUGUUGCGGGGAAACAGGACUGUUACUUUGAAAAAAUUAGAGUGUUCAAAGCAAGCUAACGCUUGAAUACAUUAGCAUGAAAUAAUGAAAUAGGACGAUCGAUCCUAUUUUGUUGGUUUCUAGGAUUAACGUA